rnacentral:rRNA from 1 species
AGAGUUUGAUCCUGGCUCAGAUUGAACGCUGGCGGCAUGCCUUACACAUGCAAGUCGAACGGCAGCACGGAGCUUGCUCUGGUGGCGAGUGGCGAACGGGUGAGUAAUAUAUCGGAACGUACCCUAGAGUGGGGGAUAACGUAGCGAAAGUUACGCUAAUACCGCAUACGAUCUAAGGAUGAAAGUGGGGGAUCGCAAGACCUCAUGCUCGUGGAGCGGCCGAUAUCUGAUUAGCUAGUUGGUAGGGUAAAAGCCUACCAAGGCAUCGAUCAGUAGCUGGUCUGAGAGGACGACCAGCCACACUGGAACUGAGACACGGUCCAGACUCCUACGGGAGGCAGCAGUGGGGAAUUUUGGACAAUGGGCGAAAGCCUGAUCCAGCAAUGCCGCGUGAGUGAAGAAGGCCUUCGGGUUGUAAAGCUCUUUUGUCAGGGAAGAAACGGUGAGAGCUAAUAUCUCUUGCUAAUGACGGUACCUGAAGAAUAAGCACCGGCUAACUACGUGCCAGCAGCCGCGGUAAUACGUAGGGUGCAAGCGUUAAUCGGAAUUACUGGGCGUAAAGCGUGCGCAGGCGGUUUUGUAAGUCUGACGUGAAAUCCCCGGGCUCAACCUGGGAAUUGCAUUGGAGACUGCAAGGCUAGAAUCUGGCAGAGGGGGGUAGAAUUCCACGUGUAGCAGUGAAAUGCGUAGAUAUGUGGAGGAACACCGAUGGCGAAGGCAGCCCCCUGGGUCAAGAUUGACGCUCAUGCACGAAAGCGUGGGGAGCAAACAGGAUUAGAUACCCUGGUAGUCCACGCCCUAAACGAUGUCUACUAGUUGUCGGGUCUUAAUUGACUUGGUAACGCAGCUAACGCGUGAAGUAGACCGCCUGGGGAGUACGGUCGCAAGAUUAAAACUCAAAGGAAUUGACGGGGACCCGCGCAAGCGGUGGAUGAUGUGGAUUAAUUCGAUGCAACGCG